rnacentral:rRNA from 1 species
GCUUGUCUCAAAGAUUAAGCCAUGCAUGUCUAAGUAUAAGCACUUAUACUGUGAAACUGCGAAUGGCUCAUUAAAUCAGUUAUAGUUUAUUUGAUAAUACCUUACUACUUGGAUAACCGUAGUAAUUCUAGAGCUAAUACAUGCAUCAAACCCCGACUUCUGGAAGGGGUGUAUUUAUUAGAUGGAAACCAAUGCAGGGCAACCUGGAAUAUGGUGAUUCAUAAUAACUCGCGGAUCGGUUUACCGAUGCAUCAUUCAAGUUUCUGCCCUAUCAGCUUUGGAUGGUAGGGUAUUGGCCUACCAUGGCUUUAACGGGUAACGGAGAAUUAGGGUUCGAUUCCGGAGAGGGAGCCUGAGAAAUGGCUACCACAUCCAAGGAAGGCAGCAGG